UACGGAGGGAGCUAGCGUUGUUCGGAAUUACUGGGCGUAAAACGCGCGUAGGCGGCUUUGUAAGUUAGAGGUGAAAGCCCGGGGCUCAACUCCGGAACUGCCUUUAAGACUGCAUCGCUUGAAUCCGGGAGAGGUGAGUGGAAUUCCGAGUGUAGAGGUGAAAUUCGUAGAUAUUCGGAAGAACACCAGUGGCGAAGGCGGCUCACUGGACCGGUAUUGACGCUGAGGUGCGAAAGCGUGGGAGCAAACAGG
rnacentral:rRNA from 1 species